UGUCACGGAUCGCAAGGUCAUGACUUGAAACUUGGCAUGACACGGGAAUGUCAUGGCACAAGGUGGGAAAACGAGAUAGACUUAUGGCAAACAAGGUCUAUGCUUCAGCGAUAUAUGGCGAUGAGUGCAUCGUCAAAUUCAGUGGGGGAGUGACUUAUGUCUCACGCGAUCGCAUUCGAUUCGUCCCGGUAGCGAUCGCAAGAUGGCGCGGGUAACGCGUUUCAAAAGGACGGAAUAGCUUGCGAUAGGGGACGCAAGCAGAUUCGGCAAGGGAUGUAGGUCGACACAGGCUGGGGACGCAAGUAGACUGU
rnacentral:lncRNA from 1 species